rnacentral:rRNA from 1 species
CAAUAGCGUAUAUUAAAGUUGUUGCAGUUAAAAGCUCGUAGUUGGAUUUCUGGCUGGAGCGAUCGGUCCGCCCCGCAAGGGGUGUGUACUAGCGUCGUCUCCGACCAUCCUUGUGGGAACUGUGCGGCCGUUAACUCGGUUGUAUAUGGGAACACAUCGUUUACUGUGAAAAAUUAGAGUGUUUAAAGCAGGCUUAAGCCGUUGAAUACAUUAGCAUGGAAUAAUAAGAUAAGACUUGGGUCAUUAUUUUGUUUGGUUUGUCGGAUCGAGGUAAUGAUUAAUAGGGAUAGUUGGGGGUAUUCGAUAUUUAAUUGUUCAGAGGUGAAAUUCUUGGAUUUAUGUAAAGAAUGAACUUAGGCGAAAGCAUUUACCAAGGAUGUUUUCAUUUAAUCAAGAACGAAAGUUAAGGGGA